rnacentral:rRNA from 1 species
AUUGAACGCUGGCGGCAGGCCUAACACAUGCAAGUCGAACGAGUGGCGGACGGGUGAGUAAUGUCUGGGGAACUGCCUGAUGGAGGGGGAUAACUACUGGAAACGGUAGCUAAUACCGCAUACCAUCGGAUGUGCCCAGGUGGGAUUAGCUUGUUGGUGGGGUAACGGCUCACCAAGGCGAAGAUCCCUAGCUGGUCUGAGAGGAGGACCAGCCACACUGGAACUGAGACACGGUCCAGACUCCUACGGGAGGCAGCAGUGGGGAAUAUUGCACAAUGGGCGAAAGCCUGAUGCAGCCAUGCCGCGUGUAUGAAGAAGGCCUUCGGGUUGUAAAGUUCUUUCAGCGGGGAGGCGUUACCCGCAGAAGAAGCACCGGCUAACUCCGUGCCAGCAGCCGCGGUAAUUC